UACGUAGGGGGCAAGCGUUGUCCGGAUUUAUUGGGCGUAAAGAGCGUGUAGGCGGUUUGGUAGGUCCGCUGUGAAAACUCGAGGCUCAACCUCGAGACGCCGGUGGAAACCAUCAGACUAGAGUCCGGAAGAGGAGAGUGGAAUUCCUGGUGUAGCGGUGAAAUGCGCAGAUAUCAGGAAGAACACCCGUGGCUAAGGCGGCUCUCUAGUACGGUACUGACGCUGAGAUGCGAAAGCGCGGGGAGCGAACGGG
rnacentral:rRNA from 1 species